UAAAGUAAAGCUUUUUAGUUAAGCGUUUCACUUACGUUGAAAAGACUUAUCGUGCAAAUCGAUUUACUUUAA
rnacentral:tRNA from 1 species